UACAUGGGGUGCAAACGUUGCUCGGAAUUACUGGGCGUAAAGGGCUCGUAGGCGGCCAACUAAGUCAGACGUGAAAUCCCUCAGCUUAACUGGGGAACUGCGUCUGAUACUGGAUGGCUUGGAUUCGGGAGAGGAAUGCGGAAUUCCAGGUGUAGCGGUGAAAUGCGUAGAUAUCUGGAGGAACACCGGUGGCGAAGGCGGCAUUCUGGACCGACAUUGACGCUGAGGAGCGAAAGCCAGGGGAGCAAACGGG
rnacentral:rRNA from 1 species